rnacentral:rRNA from 1 species
UACAGAGGUCUCAAGCGUUGUUCGACUGAUUGGUGCGUAAAGGGUGCGUAGGCGGCGCGGUAAGUCGGAUGUGAAAUCUCGGAGCUUAACUCCGAAACUGCAUUCGAUACUGCCGUGCUUGAGGACUGGAGAGGAGACUGGAAUUUACGGUGUAGCGGUGAAAUGCGUAGAUAUCGGGAGGAACACCCGUGGCGAAAGCGGCUCUCUGGGACGGUACUGACGCUGAGACGCGAAAGCGUGGGGAGCAAACAGG